GGAAGAGGGUCGGGAAUCGGACAUAUUUUUGGACACCUUCUCAAAAUGGUGUCGCUCUAGUUUAUCUCGAAUUAUUGUCUCUGUGUGUGUGUGUGUGUGUGUGUGUGACAGAUUUGGGACGCCGCCUUGUCACAGCUACUGCGCAGGUUGUCGUGAGCGCGCGAUUGCUGUCUCGAGCACAGCGCACCAGACGCCCGCGCGCGCACACGAGAACCUGCGCGCUCCCGUGAGUGAGGAGAAAGCGCUUGGGCUCAGCGUCCAACUCACCGCUUCUUCAAAACCUGUUGCCUUUUCACUUAUUUAUUUAUUUAUUUAUUUAUUUUUGUUAUUUUCUGGAGCGUGUACACCGGAUGCACCGGAUACACGAGGUACUGAGUUAUAUAGAUAUUUUUGCUCCUUUACAGAAUCCGGAUUUUAAGCGUCGAAUUCAGAUGUUCUGGGCGAGUUGGAGCAGGAUUCUGGGCGAUCCGGACGGGCUUUUCUUUCUUUCUUCCUUUUUUGUGAAUGAAACGCAUCCGCCCUUCUGUGCACCUGUGUGACAGUAGAUCUCUCAGAAUAAAAAGCAUCGAGGAGAAGAAGAAGAAGGAGAAGAAGAAAAAGGAGAGAAAUGGAUGGAAAGAGGAAUAAAUGAGAAGAGGAGGGAUCGCAGCGGAUAUCCUGCCGCCUGUUGGCUUUGAUGUUUCGGCGAAAACUAAUCCCGAGAACGGAAACGACACCAGCCGAAGGAGUUCUAGCGGAAUGAGAAAAAGGAAACACACCAGGAGUCGUGUUAUUUUCCGUUUUAAUACCACACACACACACACACACACACACACACACACACAUACAUACACAGGUUUAUGAAGAGCGAGUAUAGAAGCUGAAGCUGACAUCACCUCUGGUCUUCAGAUCCAUGCAGAAUGUUCCUCUAUGAUCAUGGGCUAAAUGUACUGAAGUCUGAGUUUUGAUGGAAAUUUUUCUCAAAUUCUUAAAAGUAUUCGGACGUGACUUCUCCAGCCGUCAUGUGAACUUCUCCUCUCCGUCUCUGCACACAGAACAUCACCGCUGAAGGACACAAACAGAGUUGUAAAUGGAUUCGUUGUUCAAUCCAGUUCCUAGAGUCCGGAUUAAUCCCGAUCCUGAACUUCAUUUCAUGAUUGAUGGAGCUUGGUCCCUGAGAAACAUGACCAGCUUUUGACUUCCAUCUUCUCAGUGGGUUUUGUUCCUGCUAACCCUUUCCACGGAGAGCAGGUCUACAUGGGUUCAGCGCCCGCAUGCUUCCCGCUAAAGAUGGUGACGUUCGGCUCCAGCCCUCCCAAAACUCCAUGAUGGCCAACCCGAGGAAGAUGGACCUGAUCAUCCCACCCUUUUACGACGUGCCGUGCGACAGUAAUGGCCAGCGCAUGUGGUGGGCCUUCCUGGCCUCGUCCAUGGUCACGUUCUUCGGCGGCCUCUUUAUCAUCCUGCUGUGGAGGACGGUGCGGUACCUGUGGACCGUGUGCUGCCACUGCAACCCCAAGAAAAAGGAUGUUCAACGGGUCAGUAGCGUGGAGAAGAAGGACAGUACGGUGGUCAGUGAGGUGGGCUGGAUGACCUCUGUGAAGGACUGGGCCGGGGUCAUGAUCUCUGCACAGACACUCACCGGACGCGUGCUGGUGGUGUUGGUGUUCGUCCUCAGUAUUGCGGCGCUUGUCAUUUACUUCAUCGACUCCUCCAAUCCGAUCGAGUCGUGUCAACACUUUGAUAAAGAUUUCACACUGCAGAUAGACAUGGGCUUCAACAUCUUCUUCCUGCUCUACUUCGGCCUGCGUUUCAUCGCAGCGAAUGAUAAGCUGUGGUUCUGGUUGGAGGUGAAUUCAGUGGUGGAUUUCUUCACCGUACCGCCGGUGUUUGUGUCUGUGUAUCUGAACAGGAGCUGGCUGGGUCUGAGGUUUCUGAGGGCGUUACGGUUGAUUCAGUUCUCUGAAAUAUUACAGUUUCUAAACAUCCUAAAGACCAGCAACUCUAUAAAGUUGGUGAACCUGUGCUCCAUCUUUAUUAGCACAUGGCUAACGGCUGCAGGCUUCAUCCACCUGGUGGAGAACUCGGGUGAUCCAUGGGAGAACUUCCAGAACUUCCAGCAGCUGUCCUACUGGGAGUGUGUGUACUUGCUGAUGGUGACGAUGUCCACUGUGGGUUAUGGAGACGUGUGCGCUAAAACCACGCUGGGACGUCUCUUCAUGGUCUUCUUCAUCCUUGGUGGACUGGCCAUGUUUGCCAGCUACGUCCCUGAAAUCAUAGAGUUAAUAGGAAACCGUAAGAAAUAUGGCGGUUCCUAUAGUGCAGUGAAUGGGAGAAAGCACAUCGUGGUGUGCGGUCACAUCACUCUGGAAAGUGUCUCCAACUUCCUCAAAGACUUCCUUCACAAGGACAGGGACGAUGUCAAUGUAGAAAUCGUUUUUCUCCAUAAUAUUUCCCCUAAUCUUGAGUUGGAAGCCUUGUUCAAGCGUCACUUCACUCAGGUAGAGUUCUACCAGGGCUCCGUCCUAAAUCCACACGACCUGGCCCGAGUCAAGAUCGAAUCAGCAGACGCAUGUUUGAUUUUAGCCAACAAAUACUGCGCAGAUCCCGACGCCGAGGACGCGUCCAACAUCAUGAGAGUGAUCUCGAUUAAAAACUACCACCCGAAGAUCCGCAUCAUCACCCAGAUGCUGCAGUACCACAACAAGGCUCACUUGUUGAACAUCCCGAGCUGGAACUGGAAGGAAGGUGAUGAUGCCAUCUGUCUGGCGGAGCUGAAGCUGGGAUUCAUCGCUCAGAGCUGCCUAGCGCAGGGACUGUCCACCAUGCUGGCUAAUCUCUUCUCCAUGAGGUCUUUCAUCAAGAUUGAAGAGGACACAUGGCAGAAGUAUUACCUGGAGGGAGUGGCUAAUGAAAUGUACACUGAGUACCUGUCCAGUGCCUUCGUGGGGUUAUCCUUCCCCAUGGUGUGUGAGAUUUGUUACGUGAAGCUGAAGCUCCUCCUGAUAGCCAUCGAGUAUAAAACUGAUCAGAGAGAGAGCAGUACUCUUAUUAACCCAGGCAAUCAUGUGAAGAUGCAGGAAGGAACACUGGGGUUCUUUAUCGCCAGCGAUGCCAAAGAAGUAAAGAGAGCUCUUUAUUACUGCAAAGCUUGUCAUGAUGACAUCACUGACCCGAAAAGGAUAAAGAAGUGCGGCUGCAAACGACCCAAGAUGACAGGCAGCCACCGAAUGCGACUAGCGUGUUGUUUAGGUUGCGGCGAGGCCGAGCAUGGCUGCUCGUGCACGUCUCGCAGCACGCGUAGUAACAUGGAGACUCCGCCCUGUGCCCUGCCUCUGUCUCCCGCCUCUGUUAGUGAUAAGUUGGCCACUUUACGCUCCUCUAAAAGUAACUAUAACGGAUAUAUCAAAUCAACGAUGGACGCUCCAGCGGUGCAGCAGUCCGCUCUGUCACCCAAGAAAAAACAACGUAACGGAGGAAUGAGAACUUCACCCAACUGCUCUCCAAAAACUAUACGACUCUUAUCAAUGUCCAGACACGACCCUGUACUGAUCCCCAGCCAUGAUCAGAUGGAGACGAUGGACGAUAACGUGAAGAGGUACGACUCCACCGGAAUGUUCCACUGGUGUCCAUCCAGAGACAUAGAGAAGGUCAUACUGACCCGUAGCGAGGCAGCCAUGACGGUUCUAAGCGGUCAUGUAGUCGUGUGUAUUUUCGGUGAUGUGAAGUCCGCUGUGGUGGGCCUGAGGAACCUGGUGAUGCCUCUGAGAGCGAGUAACUUCCACUACCAUGAGCUGAAACACAUCGUGUUCGUGGGAUCUCUGGAGUACCUGAAGAGGGAGUGGGAGACCUUACACAACUUCCCCAAAGUCUCCAUUUUACCCGGCACUCCUCUGAGCAGGGCGGAUCUGAGAGCCGUCAACAUUAACCUGUGUGACAUGUGUGUGAUCCUGUCAGCCAAUCAGAACAACAUCGAUGAUGCGUCUCUGCAGGACAAAGAGUGUAUCCUCGCCUCGCUCAACAUCAAGUCCAUGCAGUUUGAUGACAGUAUAGGGCUUCUACAGGCCAACUCACAGGGCUUCACUCCUCCUGGGAUGGACCGCUCAUCUCCUGAAAACAGUCCUGUUCAUGGUCUGGAGAGACAAACUUCCAUCAGCACUGGAGCUAACAUUCCCAUCAUCACUGAGCUCGCUAAAUCAGACAGGCUGCUGAACGCAGUAUGUGUGAGACAGGACAAGAGCUGCGGAACCAACAUUCCAAUGAUCACUGAACUGGUAAAUGACUCCAAUGUUCAGUUCCUGGAUCAGGAUGAUGAUGAUGAUCCAGACACUGAGCUCUACCUCACACAGCCCUUCGCCUGUGGAACCGCCUUCGCUGUCAGUGUGCUCGACUCCCUGAUGAGUGCUACAUACUUUAAUGACAACAUCCUGACAUUAAUAAGGACGUUAGUGACGGGUGGAGCCACUCCUGAGCUGGAGGGGUUGUUAGCGGAGGAGAACGCACUGCGCGGGGGCUACAGCGACACACACACACUCGCCAACAGGGACCGGUGUCGAGUGGCGCAGCUCGCCCUGUACGACGGGCCGUUCGCCCAGCUGGGGGAAGGUGGGUGUUACGGUGAUUUAUUCUGUAAAGCGUUAAAGACCUACAACAUGCUGUGUUUCGGGAUUUACCGAUUAAGAGACGCUCACCUGAGUAUACCGAGUCAGUGCACCAAACGCUAUGUGAUCACCAAUCCUCCGUACGAGUUUGAGUUGGUCCCCACAGACCUGAUCUUCUGUCUGAUGCAGUUUGAUCACAACGCGGCUCAGUGUCGCUCCACGCUCUCACACUCCUCACACUCCUCACACUCCUCCAGUAAGAAAAGCUCCUCAGUGCACUCCAUCAGCGCCAAACACACCAAGAGCCGAGAGCCACGAGACAAACCCAAGUACGUUCCCCUUUAACACACACACACACUGUGUCUCUUUCCCUCUCUCUCUCUGUCUCUCUCUCUCUCUCUCUCUCUCUCUCUCUCUCUGUGUAGUGUUGUUUCCAUCCAUCUGUUUGCAUCUAAAUGUAGAAAUAUCAGAGAUUAUGCCUCAGUAUCAGUCUCUCAGUAAGUCUGGGGCUUCAUGUGGAAGUGUGAUGAUGAAACUCUGUCUGGAGUAAACAACAGUUCAGUAUUUAGAGCUGCACACCACUGUACUAAACACCGGCGUUUUCAUGCCAUAUUGAAAUAUCUCUCUAAACAAGUCGCUCAGUUAUAGAAUAAACAGUCCAUAAUAACUAGACUACCUUUAAAUCUGCACUUCACUGCCCCCUGCUGGUCAUGUCCAGCUGUCUUUAAAUCCCCGUGUUGCUUCUAAAUGUGUCUGGAGAUGAACCGAAAAUCAUUCACAUGUAUUAAAAAGAUUAAAGUGUUUUAUCUUAAACUUUCUCAAACUUCUUGCUACACAGAAGAAAAAAUAUUAUCAGGACACUAAACAGAUCUUUUUUUGUGAGCAUGUGUUUACUUUAAAACUCUUUUACAUAAAUUCAGAAGAAUAGUGUUGGGGAUUUUCUACUCACAAGAAAAUCCUGUGAACAUUGUUGCUAGGCAACCGGGACAUGUGGACAUCAAACAUGGUUUGAUGCUAAACGCUAAAGCUAACCAUGUAGCUAAGUGUGAUGUGCACACACGCCAUCUCCAUGGAAAUGAAACGGAAUCAUCCGGUAUCUCGACAUUUACCUCAGACGUGAUGUUAAAGCUCUAACCAAAAGCUUCUAUGUCGCUGAAACCACGCUAGUUACACUUAGCAUCAAAUUAAGUGCCAAACAAGCCUCAGUACUGAGACACUGAGAAAUCCAGCUACAGGAGGUGGCUUGUUGUCAUAGUAACAGGGAAAGUCUUGCUGUGGCUACGUUUCUCAGCGGACUAAACACUGAAGUUAGCGACGUAGCUAGCUGUGAAGAAGCUGUUCAAACCUGUGUGCAGACACAAUAAGCGUGGAACUGACACUGAGUCCAAAACGUCGACAUUUACAUCAGAUGUGUUGUUAAACUGCUAACAACUUCAAACAUUUAAUGCUAAGUUCUCCCGUAUGUCUACACUUAACCUAGUUACGCUUAGCAUCAAUGGCUAAAGAUGCCUCUGUACACGUGGUCAUGGUAACAGGGAAAGCUGUGUCAUGGCGUGUGGUAAAUCCUGCAAUAUUUAGUGCAGUCGUGUGUGGUUUUGGAUGUGAAAACGUGUGGCGCUUUUUGAUGACAUCAUCUCUCUUCUCUAAACGGAUACUGAAUAUAACAGCAGCUGAUGGAAACAAAACACCAUGAAAAGAAUUUCUGACAUCUGAAUGAAAUUGGUGCCUGUGUGUGUGUGUGUGUGUGUGUGUGUGUGUGUUCAGUCUGGACGUGCUGUUUGCUUCAGAACUUCACAUCAGUCACACACACACACACACACACACACACACACACACACACACACACACACACACACCCACCCACCUCUGUGUUUCUUUGUUUUGUGUUAGAGCCAUAGUUUAUGUUAAAAGGGAUGUGUUUGUGUUACAAUGAUUUGGGUUGCUAUGGAAACAGAGAUCAUUUUGCACUGAAACUGCACUUUAAGCCUCUCAUAGCAGCGUGUUGGAGAACAUCUCCUCAUUCCACCUGGCCUUUCUCCAUCUUCUGCCAUGUGCCCAGCUUCAUGUCUCUCCACAUGAGCAUUCUGUUACACUCCCACGUCUUUAACACCUCCAUAAACAUAAACAACAACAACAACACAACAGUAUGGUAAUGUUGAUUAUUUUCCUCUGUCAUCACAUCCGCACGUUUUAUUCCUUUUAUACUACUGCAUUUUUUAUUUAUUAAAGAACGAGAUGUUAAACUUUUUUUGUUUAUAUUUAAAGCUGUAGAAGCUCAGUGAAGUUCCAGUUCUCCCGUGUAAACACUCGUCCCCUCAGCUGUACACACUCGUCCCCUCAGCUGUACACACUCGUCCCCUCAGCUGUACACACUCGUCCCCUCAGCUGUACACACUCGUCCCUUCAGCUGUACACACUCGUCCCCUCAGCUGUACACACUCGUCCCUUCAGCUGUACACACUCGUCCCUUCAGCUGUACACACUCGUCCCCUCAGCUGUACACACUCGUCCCCUCAGCUGUACACACUCGUCCCUUCAGCUGUACACACUCGUCCCCUCAGCUGUACACACUCGUCCCCUCAGCUGUACACACUCGUCCCCUCAGCUGUACACACUCGUCCCUUCAGCUGUACACACUCGUCCCCUCAGCUGUACACACUCGUCCCCUCAGCUGUACACACUCGUCCCCUCAGCUGUACACACUCGUCCCUUCAGCUGUACACACUCGUCCCCUCAGCUGUACACACUCGUCCCCUCAGCUGUACACACUCGUCCCUUCAGCUGUACACACUCGUCCCCUCAGCUGUACACACUCGUCCCCUCAGCUGUACACACUCGUCCCUUCAGCUGUACACACUCGUCCCUUCAGCAGUCUCUCUCUGUUCUCUCCUCAAGUUAAUAAGAGAAAAAAGUCACAGCUAGUCAUGUUACCAUAGCAACUCCUGUGUCCUGAAGAUGUGGAGAACUUCACCUCAGACUGAUACACAGAACACGUUUUAUACAAUUUUAAUGUGGAGCUUCUGUCUGUUAGAAAAUUAAUCUCCAUCUUCCGACCAAUCAGAGGCCUUUACUGUGUCCACUCAUCCUCCUCAUCCUCAUCCCCCUCACAUCACCCCCUACUGCUUAGGAGACACCGCAAACUUUUAAGGCAACAGUGUGUGGAAUUCUAACCAAAACUCUAAUCACAACUCUAAUCACAACUCAGAAACUCUAACCAGGAACUCUAACCAAAACUGUAACCAGAACUUUGGAACUCUUAUCAGUACUGUAACCAGAACUCUAAUCAGAACUCAGGAACUCUAACCAGAACUCUGACCGAAAUCCUAAUCAGAAAUCUAAUAGGAACUCUAACCAGGAAUUUUGACAAGAACUCUAAAUAGGAACUCUAAAAAGGAGCUCUUAUCAGGAACUGUAUUCAGGAACUCUGAGCAGGAGGAGUGAAUGUGAAACAUGUUCCUCAGCUCAGGGUGUGAUCUGGGUUCUGCUCCUCCUCAACUCCUCAUGAACACAGUGAGAUGGUUAUCUAGCUGGGUUCCAGAGUGUGCCAAGUAACUCAUGUCUGAUCUCUCAGAUUAGACCUCUGCUCCAUCUCACACUUCACUAUUCUAUCAGAAUAUUCAUCAGUGUCCCUCUGUUCCCAUCACUAACGUCAUAAACACUGCAGUCACAUGACCAAAAUCUGACCUCUGAUUGGUCUGACACGUGUGGAGCCCAAUGCAGAGUAAACUUUUAAGAACCCUUAAAUGUUUUCUAUCAGACAGGGAACUAAGCAGAACCCAAAGCUGUCCAGAGAGCCAUUCUAGAACUGUGUGUUAAAGAAGGCUGUACUGUAUAUACUGUACUCUCAUAAAUAUUCGGAACCCUUAAAGGUUCUCUGUUCCUCUGAGGGAAUCUUCACAGCUACUGCAUUAAACAUUACAGUGAAGUGUUUCAUAGCAGAAAAUCUAGAACCCUUUCUAAAACUAAGAAUCCUUAAAAAACCUUGAAACCUUAAAACCUUGAAAUUCCUAAAACCUUUCUAAAGUCUUUUGGUCUUCAAAGGCUUUCUUGGACAAUGAAAGGUUCUUAACCUCCUAAAAGGAACCUUCUGUGAUAAACACUCAGUUCAUUGAGGUAUUCUUCUUCCUUUCAGAAACAGGUUCUGUUAGAGGGUUCUGUAAUAACUGAAGGUCCAGUUUGUAAUGAAGUGUUCUUAACUUCUAAAAACUCCUUCUGUCCUCUUGUAGGGUUCUGUGUAGAAGCUUUUAGGACAUAGUCCUUCCAGCUGUUAGGAAGAGCUCGCUCUAGAACACUGGAAGUGAAGGAAGAGGUUCUAAGUUCUUUGUAAAAAUGGGUUCUACUCGAAACAGUUCCUGGUUAGGAAAAGCCUUAACUGCUCUUUUAUACAGUAGAACCCUAUGGAGAACCAGUAAGGGUUCUAGUUUUUUUUAUUGAAGAUUCAUUCACAUUCCUGAUGUUGCCUGAUAAAGUGAGCAGCGUGUCACAAGCCUCAUGAACAGAACUUUAUUAUUUAAUCACACACACAGGCACAGUGUCUGUGCGUGAGAACCGAGACGGAACUCCAUUCCUGCACCAUCAGCAGCUUCCUGCCCUCAGGUGGAACCUCCCUCAUGCUAGAACCCACUUUAUUCUGUUUAAAGAGUGACUGAUGUUAAGGUUCUGAUAAUAAACACACACACACACACGUCAUUAAACUGGGUUGUUUAUGUUUUAACAGUUGCUGAGCGAUUGUGGACAGUGUCUAUGUGCACCAUGGAUGAGUUGAGGGUCACAGGACCAGUCCCAGUGUGCGCUCAUUCCACCAAUCAGACGCGAGAGGAGGGGAAGUGAGAGGACCAAUCAUGGCGCAGGCUCCUGCAGUUCCAGACCGAAGCUGAGCUGCUCACGCAGUCACAACCUCGCAAUAAUCAUAAUCAUCAUCAUCAUCACCUGACCGCUGUACAUCAUCAUCACAACACAAACACUGACCAGCUCUCAGGUGUUUACUGACCAUAUGUGCAGACACUGAAAAAACCUGCCGUAAUCAUAGAAGGGGGUGUGGCCUAUUACAUACUUUCUGUUUUCUUGACCAUUGUGAAGUGUGUAACCUGUGUUAUUGUAAAAAAAAAGGGGGGGGGGAGGGCGUGGCUAAUUAAAUAAUUGCAGGGUUGUCUUGACUAUGUUUUCAGACUGAGUGAAGAGUGAUAUAAUCAGAAAAAGGGGCGUGGUCAAUACCUUUUAGGGAUUUUCUUGACAAUCAUGAAGAGCAGUAUGAUUGUAAAAAAAAGGGGGCGUGGCCAAUAAACUCUCUAGCUUGUUUUGAGUGUUCAGACAGUAACCUGAUAAUGUGUGGUGUGGGUGUAUAAAGGGGCGUGGCUUAGCGCUGCAACGAGUUCUUCUGCUCUUCUCACACCUCAGGGUUGGACGUGCUGGACGUCUGAGGUGUAGAGUGAUGUAACUGCAAAGGGGGCGUGGUCAGGAGAGAUUCCAUAUGGAAAAAGGCAUGCUGUAAAUAUCCCUGAAAUGAAACAGAAUUUUUACGUGUGAUUUUUCAGAGAAAACAUCAGGUCUGAUUAUCAGCCAUGUGUUUAAAAUGUCACUUCCUGUCACAUGGCUCUGACCACACCCAUUUCUGGAUAAAAGAAUAAAUGAGUGUAAACACCAAACAUGAGUGCGAUCCACUCCAGCGUGAUUUAAUCCUGACGAUCACCAUGCGGCUAAUCGCUAACGCUAACCUUCAUCAUCCGGUCUGUGUGUUAAAGAUGAACGCGUGAAGCGGCAGACUGACCGUUAGCAUCGAGCGCUUCAGGGCUUCCCUAGCAUAAAAAAUUCACACAGAAUUUCAGAAUUUCCUUUUUUUAAAGCAUUAGCAUGAGUAUUAACUUUCCGAAACUCGCCGAUCUGCAAAUGUGUUUAACACGUGAUGCCUUAAAUCCAAUAAACACACAGAGGAAAACAGAUUCUUAGCGAACAUGCUAAACAUCGAUGUUGCCUUAGUGCUGUGAUUUAGUCCUUAAACUCCUUUAUACAUUUAUCUUUAACCUCAUUAGCAUUUUACAUUUACUACCAAAAACAGGCUGCUAGCUAGUGCGCUAAGAUUUAGCUAGAUGGAAACGUACAUGGUGUUACUCUUGUUAGCUAAUGCCACAAUACUAGUGCAGUGAACUUGUUUGUUUUUGAAGUUUUUAAAUUGCGUUCUUUUCCGUUGCCUGUGUUUCAGUAGACACUUGUAUGUGUAUUAGCUCUAGUUUAAGCUAACUGUAUGUUAGCAAUGUGCUAAUGGUUUAUUCAGUAAAAAGACAGAAACUAUUCAAGUUUACAUUUAACUGUAAAGACUGAACUUCCGGCUGCGAGCUAGCUAGCUGAUGUUAGCUAGAAGGAUAAAUGGCUACACUUGCUAGCUAACAGCAAAAUACCAUGAAUGUUUUUGUUUUGUUUUUCUUUAAGCAGAUUUAAUUCUGAAUAAUAAAAUAUUUCCUCCUGUGAGUCAGGUGAAAUUAUAAACAGGGAGAAUUCAAUUCCAGCUAGCUAGCUAGCUAACGUUAUCUUGAGGUAAACAGUGAUAGCUCACAGCGUGUAACACAUUUCAUUAACACUUUUCUAAUGAAUCUGUUUAGAAUUAAAGAUACAGCAGUGAAUUAGCCGCUGCUGUUUUUUAGCUGGUAGUCGCAGUAAAUCUAAAAUAUUAGCAGGAUGAAAACAUGGCUAAUGUUGCUAGCUAACAGUAACUGCAUCCUAUCAACACUUUUACUUCAAAUAUUUAGCACUGUGAUGAGAAAUCUCUGGAAGUUUGAAUCGUAUUCUGGAAUAAAUCAACUCUAUUCAGCUCAACCUGCUUUAGCUAACUAGAAUGAACUGGACAAUGGGAUGCUAUGUUGCUAACUAACACCCAUUGCUAAUCUAAGCAUAUAAUAAAAUAAGAUAAUAAUAAUAAUAAUAAUAAACGUGUUGCCACGUGUUGCAAAGUGGGUGUAAGGACGUCCUGUUUGGUCUCUUCAGUUUGGCGUGAAGACGUUAACGAGCUCGAGAUCACGCGUCGCUAGUUUGUGCUAUAAACUGUAUCAGUAACUCACUAAAGUUCCGUUUUUGUUUCAUGAGCUUCUUAAACUCCAACGCUUAUAAAUAAGUGGGUGGGGCUAGCUAACACCAACUUCACACAUGCUAACUGGUGCUACAGCAAACAGAAUGAUCUCUGAGGAAACCAUCAGUCAUCUGACCAUGUGUAUCUUUAUUUCCUUCCUCAUGGCCACACCCACUUCAGGUUAGUUUUGGAGCAUUUAAGAUGUUCUCUUCCAUUAAGAGGGUUCUUCACCAGGUGUCUCCUCCUUCACGUCCCUCCAGUAUGAAGACUUUUGUUAAGCACGUUGAGGAACCUUCAUCUUUAAGAGAUUGUCCUGCACUCUGCUGGUUCUCAGGUUCCGCUCCCUCAGACCUGGUUCUAGAGCUCAGAGACUGGGUUCUUGCCAGACCGAACAGACCAAACAGACGGUUAAGCUCACUAGAGCGAGAAGUGGCAGCCACGAAGAUGAUGAUCUAGCCUUGUUUACUUCUAAUGCUAAUUAUCUACUAAAAUGACUAGCAUGCUAAUUCAGAUGAUUUAAUUAGAUGCUAAAUGAUGAGAUUUUGUUACUAGCGUAUUUUCAUGCAGAUCUUAGAGAAUAUCUUCUAAAUAUUAAAAAUUAGUGAGGUUCCUCUAUAUGUUCCUCUCCCGGUUCUCCUGCUAGUCGCUUGCAGAUAAUGACGUCCUGAACAGAAGGUUAGCAUGAAUCAGCAGGAAGUGACUGACACAGACGUGUAAAGCUAGCGAGCUGGAGGUGGACUCGAGUUUUUAUUGUUUUCCUGUGAUCAUGUGUGUAUCAGUGAUGUUCAGGACGAUGUAAAAUCCAGUCAUGAACAUUUCCUCUGAUCAGAUCCCCCACAUUGUUCUGUUUUUAAUUUUUGUAAUCAGAAAUGUUUGUGUUGGUUUAUUUUCCAGCCUCUCAUGCCUCCUGUACAGACACAAUGGAAAUGUCAUGAACAUGAUUUUAUUUUGUAUUUUCAACAACAAUAAACUCGACUCUCAUUAAACAA